rnacentral:rRNA from 1 species
AUGAACGCUGGCGGCGUGCCUAAUACAUGCAAGUCGAGCGAACAGACGAGGAGCUUGCUCCCCUGACGUUAGCGGCGGACGGGUGAGUAACACGUGGAUAACCUACCUAUAAGACUGGGAUAACUUCGGGAAACCGGAGCUAAUACCGGAUAACAUGUUGAACCGCAUGGUUCAACAGUGAAAGACGGUCUUGCUGUCACUUAUAGAUGGAUCCGCGCCGCAUUAGCUAGUUGGUAAGGUAACGGCUUACCAAGGCAACGAUGCGUAGCCGACCUGAGAGGGUGAUCGGCCACACUGGAACUGAGACACGGUCCAGACUCCUACGGGAGGCAGCAGUAGGGAAUCUUCCGCAAUGGGCGAAAGCCUGACGGAGCAACGCCGCGUGAGUGAAGAAGGUCUUCGGAUCGUAAAACUCUGUUAUUAGGGAAGAACAAAUGUGUAAGUAACUAUGCACGUCUUGACGGUACCUAAUCAGAAAGCCACGGCUAACUACGUG